rnacentral:misc_RNA from 1 species
GAUGAAGAACGCAGCAAAAUGCGAUAAGUAAUGUGAAUUGCAGAAUUCAGUGAAUCAUCGAAUCUUUGAACGCACAUUGCGCCCGCCAGUAUUCUGGCGGGCAUGCCUGUUCGAGCGUCAUUUCAACCCUCAAGCACAGCUUGGUGUUGGGACUCGCGUUAAUUCGCGUUCCCCAAAUUGAUUGGCGGUCACGUCGAGCUUCCAUAGCGUAGUAGUAAAACCCUCGUUACUGGUAAUUGUCGCGGCCACGCCGUUAAACCCCAACUUCUGAAUGUUGACCUCGGAUCAGGUAGGAAUACCCGCUGAACUUAAGCAUAUCAAUAAGCGGAGGA